rnacentral:rRNA from 2 species
AAGUCGAGCGGACAGAUGGGAGCUUGCUCCCUGAUGUUAGCGGCGGACGGGUGAGUAACACGUGGGUAACCUGCCUGUAAGACUGGGAUAACUCCGGGAAACCGGGGCUAAUACCGGAUGCUUGUUUGAACCGCAUGGUUCAAACAUAAAAGGUGGCUUCGGCUACCACUUACAGAUGGACCCGCGGCGCAUUAGCUAGUUGGUGAGGUAAUGGCUCACCAAGGCGACGAUGCGUAGCCGACCUGAGAGGGUGAUCGGCCACACUGGGACUGAGACACGGCCCAGACUCCUACGGGAGGCAGCAGUAGGGAAUCUUCCGCAAUGGACGAAAGUCUGACGGAGCAACGCCGCGUGAGUGAUGAAGGUUUUCGGAUCGUAAAGCUCUGUUGUUAGGGAAGAACAAGUACCGUUCGAAUAGGGCGGUACCUUGACGGUACCUAACCAGAAAGCCACGGCUAACUACGUGCCAGCAGCCGCGGUAAUACGUAGGUGGCAAGCGUUGUCCGGAAUUAUUGGGCGUAAAGGGCUCGCAGGCGGUUUCUUAAGUCUGAUGUGAAAGCCCCCGGCUCAACCGGGGAGGGUCAUUGGAAACUGGGGAACUUGAGUGCAGAAGAGGAGAGUGGAAUUCCACGUGUAGCGGUGAAAUGCGUAGAGAUGUGGAGGAACACCAGUGGCGAAGGCGACUCUCUGGUCUGUAACUGACGCUGAGGAGCGAAAGCGUGGGGAGCGAACAGGAUUAGAUACCCUGGUAGUCCACGCCGUAAACGAUGAGUGCUAAGUGUU